rnacentral:rRNA from 1 species
UGGGGAAUUUUCCGCAAUGGGCGAAAGCCUGACGGAGCAAUACCGCGUGAGGGAAGACUGCCUAUGGGUUGUAAACCUCUUUUUUCAGGGAGGAAUAAAAUGACGUGUACCUGAAGAAUAAGCAUCGGCUAACUCCGUGCCAGCAGCCGCGGUAAGACGGAGGAUGCAAGUGUUAUCCGGAAUCACUGGGCGUAAAGCGUGCGCAGGCGGCUAUGCAAGACAGGUGUGAAAUCCCCGGGCUCAACCUGGGAACUGCAUUUGUGACUGCAUGGCUAGAGUUUGUCAGAGGGGGGUGGAAUUCCACGUGUAGCAGUGAAAUGCGUAGAGAUGUGGAGGAACACCGAUGGCGAAGGCAGCCCCCUGGGACCUGACUGACGCUCAUGCACGAAAGCGUGGGGAG